rnacentral:rRNA from 1 species
GACGAACGCUGGCGGCGUGCUUAACACAUGCAAGUCGAACGGAAAGGCCCUGCUUUUGUGGGGUGCUCGAGUGGCGAACGGGUGAGUAACACGUGAGUAACCUGCCCUUGACUUUGGGAUAACUUCAGGAAACUGGGGCUAAUACCGGAUAGGAGCUCCUGCUGCAUGGUGGGGUUGGAAAGUUUCGGCGGUUGGGGAUGGACUCGCGGCUUAUCAGCUUGUUGGUGGGGUAGUGGCUUACCAAGGCUUUGACGGGUAGCCGGCCUGAGAGGGUGACCGGCCACAUUGGGACUGAGAUACGGACCAGACUCCUACGGGAGGCAGCAGUGGGGAAUAUUGCACAAUGGGCGGAAGCCUGAUGCAGCAACGCCGCGUGCGGGAUGACGGCCUUCGGGUUGUAAACCGCUUUCGCCUGUGACGAAGCGUGAGUGACGGUAAUGGGUAAAGAAGCACCGGCUAACUACGUG